CUCAGCCUGGCGGGCGCCAUCUUGGCAGCGCCUAGGAGGCGGCGCUGGAGAAGCAGACACGUGUGCAGAGUCCCAGCUCCGGCAACACCAAGUGACCGGCCUCACUCAGUUACCCUGGCUGGCUUGGCACAUGCAAUCUGGGGCCGCAGCCUCCUGGAGAGCUGGGGUUACGGGGAUGCACCACCCACGCCUGCCUUACUCGCCUGUUUUCGAAGAGCGGUUCUAACUGAGCUGAUGCUAGAAGAGGAUGUGCCACACUUCAUCAGCCCCUGGAUUUGUUUACUUAUUUUGGUCCCAGAAAUCAAACUCACGACCUCAUGCUUGCCAGGGUGAUGCUAUUUCAAUGCAUCGUAUGUAUGACUCCCUCUCUUGCUGAGGGGCGAGUUACUUCUAAUCUGAUCCCAGGGAAGACAAGUGAGUACCAUGCCAUAGACAACGCUGCGGCUGGACCUCGUGUGUGUAGCGUUGAUGCCAAAACACUUGUGCCCCCAUAACUCUUCCAGA